AUGGCCUGGACACCUCUCCUGCUCCCCCUCUUCACUCUCUGCACAGGUUCUGUGGCCUCUUCUCAGCUGACUCAGCCACCUGCGGCAUCCGUGUCCUUAGGACAGACGGCCAGGAUCACUUGCCAGGGUGACAGUUCAGGAAGCUAUUAUGCUAGCUGGUACCAGCAGAAGUCAGGCCAGGCCCCUGUGCUGGUCAUUUAUAGGAAUAGCAACCGGGCCUCAGGGAUCCCUGACCGAUUCUCUGGCUCCAAAUCAGGGAACACAGCCACCCUGACCAUCAGCAGAGCCCAGGCCGAGGACGAGGCUGACUAUUACUGUGGUACUGGUACUGGUUACAGCAGUGGUGAUCUUCACAGUGACACAGGCAGACGGGGAAUCUCCAGCUCUGGGGCUGACCGCUACCUGACCAUCGCCAACAUCCAGUCUGAGUACGAGUGGUGUCAACUAUAA